rnacentral:lncRNA from 1 species
GCCGUACAAAGAGUUGAAGAUAAUAGAGCUACUUUCAAUUCAAAUUGCAAUAAGGUAAGUUCAUAAAUUCAAGUAUGCCAUCGUCAAGUUGCUUGGCAGUACAAAAUCUUUAAUGAUGUUAUAAACAUUUGUUUUUACUUUUGUUGGUGCUUUGAUGUAUCUUGUUAAGUGAACAAAACUAUCAAUUCCAUAACUGAAUGUUCACAUUAAAUUUUUAUUAUAUUGAUAUGUACUUUUUGUAUAUCAUAUCCUUUGUAGAGUCAUAGAUAGAGGCUACAUGACUGAUAGAAAUUGGAUACACAAUCCCGAUACAACUAGUGCUGAAUAUUUGUUAGGGAUUGAGGAAUUCGUUAGCGUUGCAAGCAACCAUAUCGAUCAUCGAGGUCAUUUUGAGUGCCCAUGCCAAAAGUGUAAUAAUUGCUCUUGGAGGCCAGUGAGUGAAAUUCGACAACACUUGGUGUCAAGGACCGCAGCUUUACUUAGCCCCUUGACACUAUCGCAGCCGCAGUUUGCCCAACUUCGGCC